rnacentral:rRNA from 1 species
GAUGAACGCUGGCGGCGUGCCUAAUACAUGCAAGUCGAGCGAACAGACGAGGAGCUUGCUCCUCUGACGUUAGCGGCGGACGGGUGAGUAACACGUGUAUAACCUACCUAUAAUACUGGUAUAACUUCGGGAAACCGGAGCUAAUACCAUAUAAUAUAUUGAACCGCAUUGUUCAAUAGUAAAAGACGGUUUUUCGGUCACGUAUCGCUGGAUCCCCGCCGGAUUAGGUAGUUGGUAAGGUAACGGCUUACCAAGGCGACGAUGCGUAGGCGACCUGUGAGGGUGAUCGGCCACACUGGAGCGGAGACACGGUCCAGGCUCCUACGGGAGGCAGCAGUAGGGAACCUUCCGCAAUGGGCGAAAGCAUGACGGAGCAACGCCGAGUGAGUGAUGAAGGCCUUCGGAUCGUAAAACUCUGUUAUUAGGGAAGAACAAAUGUGUAAGUAACUAUGCACGUAUUGACGGUACCUAAUCAGAAAGCCCCGGCUAACUACGUG